UACGUAGGGCGCGAGCGUUGUCCGGAAUUAUUGGGCGUAAAGAGCUCGUAGGCGGCCGGUUGCGUCUGCUGUGAAAUCCCGGGGCUUAACCCCGGGCGUGCAGUGGAUACGGGCCGGCUGGAGGCAAGCAGGGGAGAAUGGAAUUCCCGGUGUAGCGGUGAAAUGCGCAGAUAUCGGGAGGAACACCGGUGGCGAAGGCGGCUCACUGGACUGGUAUUGACGCUGAGGUGCGAAAAGCGUGGGGGAGCAA
rnacentral:rRNA from 1 species